GACGAACGCUGGCGGCGUGCUUAACACAUGCAAGUCGAACGGAAAGGCCCUGCUUUUGUGGGGUGCUCGAGUGGCGAACGGGUGAGUAACACGUGAGUAACCUGCCCUUGACUUUGGGAUAACUUCAGGAAACUGGGGCUAAUACCGGAUAGGAGCUCCUGCUGCAUGGUGGGGGUUGGAAAGUUUCGGCGGUUGGGGAUGGACUCGCGGCUUAUCGGCUUGUUGGUGGGGUAGUGGCUUACCAAGGGUUUGACGGGUAGCCGGCCUGAGAGGGUGACCGGGGUCAAGGGGACUACGGUAGGCAGCAGUCGCGAACGGGAGGCAGUGGGGGGAAACAUGACGCAGCGGGCGGGAGUGUGUGAUGGAGGCGCCGGGUGCGGAAUGACGGCCUUCUGGUGAAAAACCGCUGUCGCCGGAAACAAGGCGGGAUUGACGGUAAUGGAUAAAAAAGCACCGGCUAACUACGUG
rnacentral:rRNA from 1 species